rnacentral:rRNA from 1 species
AGUCGAGCGCCGUAGCAAUACGGAGCGGCAGACGGGAGAGUAACACGUGGGAACGCACCCUUCAGUUCGGAACAACCCAGGGAAACUUGGGCUAAUACCGAAUACGUCCGUAAGGAGAAAGAUUUAUCGCUGAAGGAUCGGCCCGCGUCUGAUUAGCUUGUUGGUGAGGUAACGGCUCACCAAGGCGACGAUCAGUAGCUGGUCUGAGAGGAUGAUCAGCCUCACUGGGACUGAGACACGGCCCAGACUCCUACGGGAGGCAGCAGUAGGGAAUAUUGGACAAUGGGCGCAAGCCUGAUCCAGCCAUGCCGCGUGGAUGAUGAAGGCCUUAGGGUUGUAAAGUCCUUUCGGCGGGGAAGAUAAUGACGGUACCCGCAGAAGAAGCCCCGGCUGACUUCGUGCCAGCAGCCGCGGUAAUACGAAGGGGGCUAGCGUUGCUCGGAAUCACUGGGCGUAAAGCGCACGUAGGCGGCUUUUUAAGUCAGAGGUGAAAUCCUGGAGCUCAACUCCAGAACUGCCUUUGAUACUGAAGAGCUUGAGUCCGGGAGAGGUGAGUGGAACUGCGAGUGUAGAGGUGA